UUAGGAAUCUUCCCCAAUGGGCGAAAGCCUGAGGGAGCGAUACCGCUUGAACGACGAAGCCCUUCGGGGUGUAAAGUUCUGAACUGGGGACGAUAAUGACGGUACCCAGGUAAUAGCACCGGCUAACUCCGUGCCAGCAGCCGCGGUAAUACGGAGGGUGCGAGCGUUACCCGGAUUUACUGGGUGUAAAGGGCGUGUAGGCGGUUUCUCAAGUCCGAUGCUAAAGACUGAGGCUCAACCUCAGGAGUGCGUUGGAUACUGUGAGACUAGACGGUCGGAGAGGGUAGCGGAAUUCUCGGAGUAGCGGUGAAAUGCGCAGAUACCGAGAGGAACGCCAAUAGCGAAAGCAGCUACCUGGACGAUUUGUGACGCUGAGGCGCGAAAGCGUGGGGAGCAAACA
rnacentral:rRNA from 1 species